rnacentral:rRNA from 1 species
GUCCACGCCCUAAACGAUGUCAACUGGUUGUUGGGUCUUAACUGACUCAGUAACGAAGCUAACGCGUGAAGUUGACCGCCUGGGGAGUACGGCCGCAAGGUUGAAACUCAAAGGAAUUGACGGGACCCGCACAAGCGGUGGAUGAUGUGGUUUAAUUCGAUGCAACGCGAAAACCUUACCCACCUUUGACAUGUACGGAAGUCGCUAGAGAUAGCUUCGUGCUCGAAAGAGAGCCGUAACACAGGUGCUGCAUGGCUGUCGU